rnacentral:rRNA from 1 species
CCUACGGGAGGCAGCAGUGGGGAAUUUUCCGCAAUGGGCGAAAGCCUGACGGAGCAAUACCGCGUGAGGGAGGAAGGCUCUUGGGUUGUAAACCUCUUUUCUCAGGGAAGAAGCUCUGACGGUACCUGAGGAAUCAGCAUCGGCUAACUCCGUGCCAGCAGCCGCGGUAAUACGGAGGAUGCAAGCGUUAUCCGGAAUGAUUGGGCGUAAAGCGUCCGCAGGUGGCGAUUCAAGUCUGCUGUCAAAGGUCGGGGCUCAACCCUGAACAGGCGGUGGAAACUGAACAGCUAGAGUGCGGUAGGGGUAGAGGGAAUUCCCGGUGUAGCGGUGAAAUGCGUAGAGAUCGGGAAGAACACCAGUGGCGAAAGCGCUCUACUAGGCCUGCACUGACACUCAGGGACGAAAGCUAGGGGAGCGAAUGGGAUUAGAUACCCCAGUAGUCCUAGCCGUAAACGAUGGAUACUAGGCGUGGCUUGUAUCGACCCGAGCCGUGCCGGAGCUAACGCGUUAAGUAUCCCGCCUGGGGAGUACGCGCGCAAGCGUGAAACUCAAAGGAAU